GCGGCGAGGGAGGGGCCCCACUUCCGGGCGGCGGAAGGAGACGCGGCCGCGUGAGGACGAGGCGAUUUGAAAACACGCUCUAGGAGCGAGCGCAAAGCCUGCGGCCGGCGGGACACGGCGUGGUCCUGCGGGGCUUGACGUUCGCUCGCUCUCCGCCUAGUCUCCGCGUCCCGGGUCCGUCCGGGCUCUCAGCACCAAGAAUGACCAAAAAAAGGAAACGCCAAGAUGAUUUUCAGAAAGUAAAACUAAAAGUUGGUAAAAAGAAGCCCAAGUUAGAAAAUGCUACAGCUACAAACUUUAAGACAAAGGCUAUACAUUUGCCUGAACAACUUAAAGAGGAUAGAACACUUCCGACCAACAAUAGAAAGCUUAACAUAAAGGAUUUGCUGUCACAGAUGCAUCACUAUAGUGGUGGUGUUAAACAAAGUGCUCUUCUUGGACUUAAA